CUUUGGUGCAAGACUUUCUGGUGGGGGUGACUCUUGAGCUGAGAAGGGAUCCACCAGGCUGGUAUGUUACAUAACCAUUACACUCACUUCUACAGUGCCUUCUGGUAGAAGAUGUCUUCUCCCUAUGCAUUUGGUCCUGACAAAAACUAUGUGAGGCUCCAAAUCACCAAACUUCUUUGCCUCUCUGGGAAAACUAAAUGACCCACCACUUCAGAAGAAGGUCAUGGGGUCUGUGCACAGCUUUUCACAUCCUCCCUGAAACACCAACACGCCCGGUCCAGGUUAAAGGAUAUCAGCACUGCCACACACUCUUCUUUUUCCCAAAUUAAUCAAGAAGUAGGAAUUUCUGACAAAUGCCAUCUGCUGAUUUUUCAGAGAGACAAGUUUUGGUGGUGUGACCAGCAGGUGCCUCGGCUUUUUCUAGCAUGCAGUACCAAAAUAGUCACCAUGGCAACCCUGGGAGGGCAGACUUCCAAAGAGAUGCAUUGUGAGCUCAGAAACUCUAGAGCACUUUCAAGCUAAAAGGAAGGAGGCUCAGCAGUGGGUUUCCAACUGUGGCAAGUAGCGGCUUCUCCCCACAUCCCUGGGCUGGACCCCAGGCCCCUGCAUACUGGGCACAGCCAGGACCCCCCGACCCCAGGGCCUGUGCUUCUAGGAAGAGGGGGAAAAUUGAAUUUGUGGGGAGUGGCAGGCAGGUGGAGCAGGCAACUCCCAGAUUUCUUGCAGGAGCUAAAGUAGCAUGGAGGGUGAUAAAUGGUGCCCACCUGGGUUGGGAGGCAGGAGAAUUGGGUUGAAAUACCUGCCCUGUCACUUGCUAACCAAUGACCUUGGGCAAUUGACUUGGCCUUUCUGACUCUCAGCUUCUCAUUUUCAAAAUGGGAGUGGUGAGCUUGCACUGCCUCUUCACAGGGAAAAUUGUGGAUAUGAUAGGAAGCUUGUGAAGACUGUUGGGAAAGUGCUCAGUGGACAGUGCAAAGCAGAAGAGAACAGGGAUUUGGGGAUCAGAAAGCUUGGGUUCCAGACCAGGCUCUGCUGCUUUCUAAUCUUAUGAGCUUGGGAAAGUCAUAGAGCUUGUCAAACCUACUCGCUCACCUUGGAAGAAGGCUCAGAAGCCCUGCCUCACAGAGUGGAUGUGCAGGUUAUCUGGGCUCUUUCUGUGACCUGGGAUUUUACACUCCCCUUCAGUGCAGACACCAAGACAGGAUGGACAAUACAGAGGAUUUUACUAGGGGAAACAUCUGUGAGAUAAAAAUGGGGAGGGAGCUGGUAGAGGCUAGAAGAGAGGAAAGGCUGGGAGAGCCAUCACACCUUGAUGCAAGUCUGACCUAAGUGCAGGAGGGAGGGAAGCAAGUUUGGGUGGAAGCUCCUAGACUGCCUAUAGCAAGGCCAUCAGAGAGUCCUCAAGCCAAAGUCACCUAUCAGAGAAGUUCCCUGUUUCUUGGAGACAGGUCUGCCUUAGUAUCCCUGCCACACUCAGUUGCUGAUUGUCUAGAAGCAGCCAACAGGAAGAGUGGCCUCUACAUAAAUAUGGGUGCAAGCAGCUGGAGGCCAUGAUCAACUGAACUCUCUCUUCAGGAGACAUAUUCUUAUGGCCACCACACCUACCCAAUCCUGAUGUCUUUUGCUUGAACAUCCACAUCAGGUACUUGGCCUCAGACCCACACCUCUACUUCAGAAGCCUUGUACCCCACAUCCAUGGUCCUCUUACCCAGAACAUUAUAGGAACUCAGGUUCAAUGAUGUCUUAGAAUACCACCCCUAGGAAAAAAAUAUAUUUUCUACAUCUCAAUUAGAUUAUGUAGCAAAGGUGCACAGGCAUUGUUCCAUUCUGCAUUUGAAUGUGCGUGUAUGUAGGAAUGCAUGCUUCUUUGUCAGUGUGCACGCAUAUGAACAGUAUAUUUGUAUAUAUAGAUGAGCAUUUAUAUCUACGUGUAUGCAUGUUGUGAAUUUAUGCAACAAUACCAUUAGCCCAUUAGCACUACAUAAGCAUUUUGCACACAGUAUCUUUGAUCUUUACAACCAUCUUUGAGGUAGAUAAGCAGGUAGUUUUGUAGGCACAAUCCUUGUUUCAGCUUAAAUGUUUUCCCCAACAUGCCACUCAGAUAACACAAGGUAGAGCCAUGGUUUGAACAGAAAUGUCUUCCUUCAAAGUUUCAGCUCUUGUCCUUUCUUCCACCCACCCCCAUCCCACCUACUCAUAUGACUAUGUGUUGCAUGAAAGCACAUACGUGUGCAUAUAGAAAAAAGAUUCAGAUGGGGAGGGGAAUAUAGCUGGAGAAGUAUAGAUUGAUUAUGGAUUGGUGACUGGUGAAAAGUAUUUCUGCCAGAAGCCCCCACACUACAAAAUGUAAUCCUAUUAAUGUGUGUCAUCUAAAAACAUAUAUUGUAUCCUAGCUGUAAGAAUUUCUAUUUAAUGGGCUACAAAGACAAAUUUUGGAGAUCCUAAGCAAUUUGAGUCUCUUAUUCUUCUAGUAUAAUCAAACAGUGAUCCACUUUCUUGGCCUUCCCCCAGAAUCCUUGCUCCCAUGGCAAGUUUUUCAGCCCAACUGGUGGAAAUUGUUUUGUCCUGAUUGAGAGGUAUUAAAGAAAAAAUAUCUACCCCAGCACCUUAGUUUUCUAAAUCACUUGUCUUUGCUUGUUUCCUAGCAGCAUGAAAUACUAGUCUGGAG
rnacentral:lncRNA from 1 species